AAAUGAAUUGACGGGGCCGCACAAGCAGCGAGGCAUGUGGUUUAAUUCGAGGCUACACGAAGAACCUUACCUGGGUUUGACAUGUACGAGAAAGUCCCAAGAAACUGGGACCCUAGUCGUAGCAAUACGGUUACCCGUACACAGGUGGUGCAUGGUUGUCGUCAGCUCGUGCCGUGAGGUGUAAGGUUAAGUCCUUGAACGAGCGCAACCCACGUGGUUAUUUGCUCUUGGUCGCAAGGCCAAGCACUAUAACCAAACCGCUACCGACGAGGUAGAGGAAGGUGUGGAUGACGUCAAAUCAUCACGCCCCUUAUGUCCAGGGCUACACACAUGCGACAAUGGUUGGAACAAUGAGUUGCAAACCAGUAAUGGCAAGCUAAUCUCCAACACCAGCCCCAGUACGGAUCGAGGGUUGAAACUCACCCUCGUGAAGAUGGAGUUGCUAGUAAACGCAAGUCAGCCAUAUUGCGUUGAAUACGUUCCCGGGCCUU
rnacentral:rRNA from 1 species